UACGAAGGGGGCUAGCGUUGCUCGGAAUUACUGGGCGUAAAGCGCACGUAGGCGGAUUGUUAAGUCGGGGGUGAAAUCCUGGAGCUCAACUCCAGAACUGCCUUCGAUACUGGCGAUCUCGAGUUCGGGAGAGGUGAGUGGAACUGCGAGUGUAGAGGUGAAAUUCGUAGAUAUUCGCAAGAACACCAGUGGCGAAGGCGGCUCACUGGCCCGAUACUGACGCUGAGACACGAAAGCGUGGGGAGCAAACAGG
rnacentral:rRNA from 1 species